UCUAAACUCAAGUUUAGUUUCAAAUUCGUUUCUUUUAUUUAUCUAUUUCGAUUUUGGGUAUGUUGUUAAAUUAGGGUUCUUGAACAAUUGAAUUGAAGAAAUUAAAUGUGAAUUAUCGGAAAAUUCAGGGAUGUUACACACACUCUCUUUCUCUCCUCUCUCCUUUCUCCUAGCCUCCCAUAUUUUAGAUCUAUAUGCACAGUCUCUCUCCUACAUUUCUAUCUAUUUCGUUAUGUAAAUCGUAUUUAUAUGUGGUUAUGACCUGCAUAAGGUAUGAUUUAAUUGUUUGUUGCAUUUCUAGUAAUGACGUUUAAUUCUUUGAUUGGGAAUUGUAUUAUAAUCUUUAUUUAAGUGGCCUGGUUCUGUUACAAAUGCAUUUGAUUGCAGACUAGAGUUUAUAUGUGGUUUUACGAAUGCAUUCCAUUGCAGCAUUCUGGUCUUCUCAUUGACCCCGAAACCUGCAGUAAUAGAUGAAAGAGGUGACCAUAUUUAUAUAGGUACGACAGGUGGAGGCUGGCAUUUCUUUUAAUCUUUGAAGUGGUAUACUGGCUAUUGCUUGCUUCCUACAUCUAAAAUAUGUCACAGUGGUCUUCAAAUGCAAGGUUUCAUUGCCCUUGAUCACUUGGAAUUAUAUUGAGAAAGCAUACUUAAUCAUUUUUUUAUUGUUGUUUUUUUAUCUUGAACGAUUCCUGUAUUAUCACUUAGUCUUGAUUAGUAUUUUAUUUUUGUUUUUGAUAGGGAGAUGUAUCAUAUUUUGAUGUAAAUGUAUAAUGUACUAGAGAAAAUGAAAUACAACUUGUAGUAUUGUGUU